UACGGGGGGGGUAAGCGUUGUUCGGAAUUACUGGGCGUAAAGGGAGCGUAGGCGGGUUAUCAAGUUGGAGGUGAAAGCCCAGGGCUCAACCUUGGAAUUGCCUUCAAAACUGAUAGCCUAGAGUAUGAUAGAGGUAAGUGGAACUCCGAGUGUAGAGGUGAAAUUCGUAGAUAUUCGGAAGAACACCAGUGGCGAAGGCGACUUACUGGAUCAUGACUGACGCUGAGGCUCGAAAGCGUGGGGAGCAAACAGG
rnacentral:rRNA from 1 species